UACGAAGGGGGCUAGCGUUGCUCCGGAAUUACUGGGCGUAAAGCGCACGUAGGCGGAUAUUUAAGUCAGGGGUGAAAUCCCAGAGCUCAACUCUGGAACUGCCUUUGAUACUGGGUAUCUUGAGUAUGGAAGAGGUAAGUGGAAUUGCGAGUGUAGAGGUGAAAUUCGUAGAUAUUCGCAGGAACACCAGUGCGAAGGCGGCUUACUGGUCCAUACUGACGCUGAGGUGCGAAAG
rnacentral:rRNA from 1 species